CAAAGGUUGCAGUACGGUGGAUUCGUUAUGCUUCCUUCGGCCAUGCAGAGACACGUUUUCCUGGUUUGCAGUCCGUGGAUCCGUUAUGAAAGUAUGCAAAUAAAAUUGAAGGUGGACUAUAACUGGAAGAUCAUACAACAUUUCUCAUUGUGCUGAGAAGGUACUACAAUUUUUAAUCAACUAUUCCUGAUUAAUUAUAAUCUGUAUGCAUUUAUAUAAAAGUAAUGUAAAUUGUAAUGUAUUACAUGUUAUGUAAAAUAAAUUAUUUUGUUAUA